CGCUGCUCUUUCGCUCGCUCCGUCUCUGUUCCGGCGCAGCUUUCCUUCGCCCAUUAAUCUGCUGGGGCGGCCGAGAUCUAGGGAUCCCAUUUUGACUUCAUUCCGGUGGUAGACAGUGGUGAAAUUUCGCAUAGUGCUUGAGAUGUUGGUCCAGAACUCCCAGUAGUUCUGGCCUGGCACUUCUGGACGAACAUGUAGGGAUGAGCUCAACUAUAGUUCCUGACCAGCAUCAUCAGUCGAGCAGCCGAUCCAGCCUCGGUUCUGAUGGGGCUGCAUCUCCUUAUGCAGGAAGCGAAAAUAGCCAUUUUCGUAGAGCAAAAGAAGAAUUGCAAUCAAUGGUCAAAAGCCAUUUGAAAAGCCUUUCGAGAGAAAUUGAUUUAGGUCAUGGUGAGUUUAAGGAAAUAGCGAGGUGUUCCACUCAUAUUGUGUUGCUUGCUUGCGGCCUUGAGCACAGGAGGAGCGAGGUCUACACUAUCCCUUCGCCAUCCUUUUGUUCCCACAUAGACAAAAUUGCAACUGGACAAACAAGUAUGAUGAGAGGAGUUUGCUCAACAUGUUUUGAUGUUUUCGUCAGAUAUGUAACCGAAAACAUAAUGUACACAAGACUACCACCGCAUUGGCUAAGUUUAGGUCUUUACGAAUUGAUAAACAUGGGCUGCCAUUUUUUGCACGUCCAUCCUUCUUUUUGGGGGGAUUUAGAUGAGAAGUAGGGGGAUUUUUGUCCAUACUGAUAACUGUUCGUGGUCCCAAGAGGAUCCAUUUUUCUUUGAUUACAUCGAUGAUAUUUAUUUUUUGGUUGAAGGGGUCCUAUUUUU